CCCCUUCUGCGCCUCUAUAUAAACCCCACCCAGCCAGCCCCUAGCGCAGACGGCGAAGAGCGGUGAAGAGCUCGCCUUGGCUCUUGCUCAGCCUUGGCUGCAGCUCCUCCCGAGACCGGGGCGCCCGCAGGAGAACCUCUUCCCUGGAUCGCUCUUCAGGGAUGACGUCACCCCAGUCUUCAAGGACCACCUUCUAUGGAUGCCAAGUGCGCAAGUGCCUGUGGCGCAGUAUCUGCUCCGCACCUCUACCUCCUGGUACCACAGCCACUCCACAUCACAUGGCCAUUGGACUCCCCCCACCCAUUUCCCACUUAUCAUCGCCAGACACAUUAGCCAUUAGAGACAAUUAAGAGUGCUAAAGCCAAGGAGCAUGGAUUUCUGGAACCCACCAGCAUUCAAAGCAAGCUCUUCUGGACCCCCGAGGAUCAGGACAUCGAGGGACAAGGAAUAAAGAGGACCAGCAGUGUCCAGCUAGCCUCCGUCUGGGUUCAAACUUGAGCCAUUGCCCUAGUGAGGGGGCAAUGGUCACGACCCUUGACCUUUGCUCUGCUUGUGCCUUGAGUCUGAGCCCUUCCCUAUAUGUCUUUGCUUGUGUUCAUCUGCCAGUGAACUGGACUGCUUCCCUCCCCAAGGGGGGGGUCAUCCCUUGUGACUGACCAUGUUGUCCUAACGAUGUCCUGAGCAGAAGGAUCCCUUUGGGAACCUCUCAGGAGGGGUACCUGGGCCAGGGGCAACCAGCAUCUUGCUGGCAACUCUGUGGGUUGGGUGGGGUGCUUCUGGAAUGAGCAUGCGGCUGACCCCCAAUGGCAUGCCUCCCCCCCUCCACCCACCUCUUUGGAGAUGUCCCUUCCUUUUGGGGUAGUGGGGACAUUAGGAGCAACCCCCUAGGGUUGUUGUGAGAAUUAAAUGAACUCAAGCAGCCUGAGGCAGGGCUGGGCAGAAACCUCAGCACAUGUUUGUUGAAAAGUUUGCAGGUGGAUCUGUUCCCACCCACUCAUUUGUCUCACCUGUCUCAUCUAUUCUGCAGACUCCUGCAGCCCCUGUGCACAGGGCCCUCCUUGCAGCAGGUAGGGGCUCCUAAAGACAGCAGGCCGUCGGGGAGACUUUGAGUAAGGACGUGUGGCCAUUUCCAGAGCACUUUCUAUGUACUAUGCCCAUGAUGUUUUUACGUGUAUGGAAAGGGCAGCGUGGGUUGGGGGGUGUCUAGAGAGGGGUGAAUUGGCAUUAAUUUUCAUGAUUUUUAAAGAGGUAGGUGGGAAAGAGAACUGGGAGGGACCAGCCUCACUCAUGGGGUUGGACUUAAAUUUACUCUGAGGACAAUGAAGUAUUUUGCCACAUUGCUGGCAAGAGAAGGGGUCAGAGUUGGAUCUGGGCGCCCCUGACGCUCCCAUUGCCUGUCCUCUCCCUAGAGUCCCUUUAUUUCGUAUCAGACCUUUCACGACAUCAAAGUCUGCCUAAAAUCCCAGCUUCCCAAGGGUGGUCUUGGGGAGCUUCUGGGGGAGGGGGUGGCCCAAGUCUGGUAGCAUGUGCUGACUUCACCUCUUAGUAAUGGUGUGACCUUUUAAACAAGUCACCUAGCCUCCACGUUUCAGUUCCUUUCACACCUAAAUAGGUAUUUAAAAAAAAAAAAAAGAAAAAAGAAUAAAGAAAGAAAAGAAAAAGAAAAAAAAGAAAGAAAACAGGGAAAAAAACAAAACAGAUCAGAACAAACAAACAAACAAACAAAUGGAAACCAGCUUAUCUAUGGCACAGGGUGCUUCUGAAGACCAAAAUGUAGCUCACGAGAAAGUGCUCUGUAAAUUGCCUGAAAUUGCCAACUACUCAGUAACCAAUGGGGCAGUCCACAUUGCCCACCACCCAGCCUUAUUCUUCCACAGUACUGAGCACUCUGUAGGUGCUGGGUCUAUUUGUGCUCAAUAAAUAAUUUCCAGAAUUAAAAAAAAAAAAUAGCUCAACAAACAUUUUCUGAGAUGCUGACCAUUUGCCUGAUGCACCAGGCUACAGCUAAGGUACAAAGACAGGAGAACAGUCUCUUUUGGAAGCUAAUUGGGGCCCAUUUUACCAGCACUUUCUUUGGUCGCCUUUUAAACCAACCAGUUUUGUCCAGACGAGACAAAACACCAACUGGGCCGAUUUAGGGAAAGCCCAGCUUGGAGUGGACAAUAGCAUCCAGGCCUCUGAAAGGGGCUGAUUGGAUUAUGAGGCAAAUGGAGGCAGAAGGAAGACUUGGAAGGUGGCAAAUGCAGUGGGCGGAGACCACUCUGAGUUAAUUCAGGCUAUCAGGAGGGACCCUUUCCAUCUCAGAGUGGCCAGGGGCGUGCACUACUGCUCCUUCCAUUGUUACUGUCCAGCACACAUGGAGCCUGAAGCCACCCCUGGCCCCUCUCUUGCAAGCGUCCAUUCAUUUGAUGCUCACAACUCCCUGUCCUGACCCAGGGCCGGCCUGCCAUCUCGCGGGGAAGCAGAGGUCACCAAGCGGCUUCUUGACUGGGGCCCCCACACAUCGUGACCUCAUGACCUUCUCAGUUUUAGCACUGGACAUGUACCUGUUUCAAGCCUGCACCUCCACCUCAGUUCCCCUCUGGAUUCCUGACUCUGCUGUCCCCACCUGGAGCCCCACUUCCUCCUGUCCUCCUUCCUCGCCACUCCAGUGUCUGUCUUUCCUUCACAGCCCGGCUUCUCGAGGCCUGUCUACACUCGCUGCUUUCCUUCCUCACCUCCAAUUUCCCCUCCAACCCACUGCUUCCUGACUCGCUCUUCUCCAUCGAACGGCUCGCUCAGGUAAAGACUUUUCUGUAGCUUGACCCUUGGCACGACUCCAGCCUGGCUGGACACAAGGACACAUGCAUCUCCAUUCUUCCUGCUCCAUGGCUUCUCGGCGCUGGUUCCCUUCUAUUUCCACAUUACUGGCUUCAUGGACACAACUAUUCUCACCUUCCUUGGGAACUUGCCUUCCCAGCCCUCUCAACUUCCCAAACCUGCCUCAUGCCCCUCAGAGGGCAGAAGCACCUAGAGCACUCUGGAGUUGGCUCAUCUGGGUUCAGGUCUUAGGUAAACCACUUAACACUGGGAUUACUGUAUAGGUCAGCUCUUCCAAGCUACCUACAACAGGGUUAAUGGAAGGCCAGGUGAGUUCCAUCAGGUAAGACACAGACCUCCUAGCUAAGAGACUGGAAGUGAAGUCAAUUAGGCAUUCCUGAGCAAAUGAGAUUUGGGUCACAAUUAAAUUUUCUUGAAGUUAGGUUCCCACAGAGAAGACCAAAGGGGAGAGGAGGAGGGGAAGGGAGGGAAAAGGGGCAUUGAAGACAGCACAGGUAAGGAAAGGGGGAUUUAGAGAAUAUUAAGACCUACCCAAACUUCAUCUAGAAAAAGCUUUUCCUCUUAGGUUAGCCUGGGCUUAGAAUUAAAAAAAAAAAAAAAAAGACAGAAGGAAGCUUUUAAGUUGAUUACCCAGUGACAAAUCCCAGGAAACUUCCAUAUCAUAUCGCCCCAUUGAAGGGUUUUGAGUUCCUCUCCCGAGGUUUAACCUCUGCACCUCCUGCCCCUUCCGUACUGCCUCCCUAGACUGGUGAUUAAGUCCCGAUGGUACAAGAAGGGUCUCAGGGAAUGACCAGCCCACAGGACAGAGCCACCCCUGCCCCCGAGCUGGGUUUUCUUUCCCACUUUCUCCUUAAUGAACAUGAGGCUAAUCUUGGGCCUUGUGAAAGGAAGAGUCUGCGCAGCUAAUGAGGUAGCUGCUGGCCUCCAAUAUUCAUCUUUUAAGGAGCCCUCUUUGUCUGCGAAGGAAAAACACACUGAUUACCAUAAUGAGCUGAGCUGGUGGCUGCGUGGUGGGGGGGCCUUGGGUUCUUAAGCCACACUUUAACGUCAGCUAGAUUUCCCUCCUCACUGAAGUCUAAGCCCCUGUCCCACUGCGAGGCCCACUGAAUGGGGUUGCAACCUCAAGGUGGCUUUGUGACAAGGAGCUACAAAAGGUCCACACUGACUGCACUCACUUCUUACCCAGCCUCCUGCCAAGCUUUCUAUGGCCACCCCAGCAAUCAGCAGACUGGUUAACAGUCCUGGGGAAGGGGACUCUCCCUCCCUCCUCCCCCCCUCUCAGUGGGUUCACCAGCUGCCUAAAGGUUCUGUACCACCAUGGGCCCAAAUUAGGUCACCACCUUGUACUGGAGUUGAAGCUAGGGCACCAGGCCAAAGGCCUCUGGGAGUAGAAGCCACACUCCCCACAGUGUAGUGUCAGCUUCCCUGAAGCCACUUCAGAUACUCUAGGAGUCUGGGAGUAUUUCAAAAGCUAGGGACUAUGGGGAGGGCCUUUGCUCAGCAUGCUACAGCUCUAGGUCAUCAGGCCUCCAAACUUAACAGCCUUGAACAACUCAAGCAAAAGACACCCCCCCAUCUUGAUUUUCUGGAAGGCAGGCAGCCUGUACGUAGGAGGGUUUGAGCUAGGAGGGUUUGAGCUCGGGCGAACUGCUUCCUUGAGCAUAGUGUGCUUUUCACCACUUUACCCCAUCUCCCGGGGCCCAGAGUGUAUCAGUGGGUAUAGCACAAUCCCCUACCUCUCCCCUCCCAGCCUAUCCAGGCAAGCUUCAGGGUAGUUGGCCCACAGACCUAGGGCAUUCUGGGUACUCAACAUAUAUGGACUCAAUCAGGAUAUGUUGGAAAGCUAUGGAGAUGAAGCUAAGGAAGAGAGGAGAGGGAGGAGGCAGGAAAAACCCUAGCCCCCAAUUCUCCUGAGAACUACUGUUUUUCUGCCUUUACUGCCCAUUCCCCCUCCAUUCUCUGUCUCAGCCUCCCUCUGUUUGUCUCCCUCCCUCUCCCAUUUGAAUCUGGCCCUUCUGGGGCGCCCCUAGGCCACCCCUUCCUCCUCUGGGUGUCCCAGCACCAACCCGGUAAAUAGUGGGGCUCAGUAAGAGUAUGUGGGAUGUAUGGAAGGACAGGUGGACGAAUGGAUGGGUUCAACUGGCACACCUGGGCAGGUCAGGGUCAGAGGUGGGGGUGGGGUGGGGCUCAGGGGAUUCCAGGGAAGGAGCUACCUGCCCUAGUGUCAGCCCCCUUUAAAGGGGUCCUGUUGUUGCUCCCAUGCAUUCAUCCACGCGUUAACCCUGUCAUCCAACAGUUGAUCCUAACUGAGCGUGCCCAUGGUCCUGGCCCUGGGCUUGGCACCUGCCACCUAGCUUGUCCCUUGAUGGCCUCUGCUUCCCAGGGAGGGCGAGCUGGGGGGUUGUCUGGGAGCCAGAGCAGUGGUCUCUGGCUCCAUAGUGGGCAUUCAGAGGGCAUGGGGUGGGCCUGGUUUGCCUGCCCUGCCUUCACGCAGACCUGCUCACCCCCAGGGCCUUGCCCCCCUCUCUGCCUCCCUCCCCAUUCAUGGCUGAGUAUGGGCUACUGGCCCUGCAGCUUAGGGCUUAGGCAAACGCAAAGGAACAGCUGUGAUGUGCCAUUGGUCCUGGCCACACAGGUCUCCCUCCGUGGGUGAUGGGGGUCUGAGGCUAUUGGACCCUUUCCACAGUUUGUUCCUCCCCCUGGGACUCAGUCCAGCCUUUUUUGUCCCCAAAUAUUGGCUGGGGACUGUGUCCCAAUGCCAGGAGCCUCCAGAGAGCAUGUGCAGGCCCCGCCUCUGCCUGGCUGCCCACCUGCUCUUCUCCACCUGCUGGUUCCCCCCUGCUUCUACGGUGCCCGGGUUCAUCACCCUCUUAGCAUUCUGCUUGCAUAGCCUUUUCCCAUGGUGUCUCCCUAACACCCACCUGUGCCUCGGUCCCUGGGGUUACCCUACUCUACCCUCUCCUUCGGGUCUCAGCCACUCCUACCUCUGCUUUCCAGGCUGCCUUCCCUCGCUAAGCCCACACCUACGGCUAACCCGGUCCAUCUGCUGCCCCUUAGCCUUGCCACCAGGUCCCCAUAUCAUUGUGUCCCCCCAACUCAGUGUCACCUUAGUGGCCAGCAGCCUCCCUGUGCUUGUUGGACAAUCCCUUGCUGGUUCUUCAUCUCCUAUGGGCCUGGUUUCCAGGGGCUGAGUGCCCAGGGGCUCAAACCAGGUUUCUGACUUGGUUUGCUGGCCCUGGAGACUCCUACCGUCGUCAUCGUGGUCGUUGGUUGUUUCCUGGUGGGUGUUGCCCACACAUACCACCACUGUGUCCCUGAGAGUCCAUGGCUCCGCCCUCCUAGGCCCCUUGCUGACCAUUUGGUGUUGUUUUGGGGGCUACUAUCCAGGCCUGUCGCGUCUUCCUGUGCCAUUUCCUGUUGUGCUCAGGUUCUACGAGCCGCCCAUCUCCACAGAGGAGCAGCUGGCAUUGCCCACCGGCCAUGCUGAAGAACAGAAGAUUGAGGACCCCAGGACGCCCAGCGUGAGGACCCCGGGAGGACCCCACGAGGACCCCACGAGGACUCCAUGACGCCCAGCGCGAGGACCCAUGCCCUCACGACCACAUGCCUUUCGCCACCCUCCUGGAUCAGGCCAAAGUCAUCACCUGGAACCCUGCGUGGGACCCUGGACACACGGACAUGGACACAUGCCCCCAGGACCCUCCAACUGUAAAUCACUCUCCCUCUGGCUCUUGUACUAACUAGGAUGGAAGCGCCCUUGUGAGUUGGGGCCUUCAAAGGGCCGAGGAGAAAAAUGCAGACUGAGGGACCAGCUUCUCAAAUAGGCUUCAAGCCUCCAUGACCUGAGCUCACCCCCUGGAAAUGUCUGGAAAACAGAGUGGGCAGGUUUUCUGUCUUCAAAGUUUCCAUCUGAACCUCUUCAAGUUCUUUAUUGUUCGGGGCUGAGACACUUGGGGACGGUAAUGGGGACUCGCUUUUGUAUCUGUCUUGAAAGGCCAAAAUAUUUUUAUAUUGCUGUAGACAAAGCCACCUAUUUACAAAUGAACUCUGUUCCGUCGUUUCCCACCAGGAAGACCGUACUAUGUUUGUGUCUCUGUGUACUGUGGGGUCUUGAAACAGGUUUCUCAUGGGGAUGGCCAUUCACUGGGGCCCAGAGGGGCAGAAGGGGAAGUGUCUACCCUGCCAAGGGGUCUGGGGAAGGAGGGGGGCUAGUCUCAGAUCUGCCCUGUGUAUGUCUAGGGGUAAGCCCUGGGAGAAUCUGGUGCUAAAAGAACAUAUGCUGUGUUUGCCCCACAUCUGCCAUUUGUGUGUGUUUCUGGGCUGCGGGUUUGCAUACUUUGGUGGUUAACUUGGUGAGAGGAAGUAGGAAGGGCCAAGAGGGCACAAAUGCUCUGGUUUUCUUUUUGGGAGGCUGUUUCACUGGUGUGUGUUACAUUACAUAAUAAAUGUUUAGAAGGAUGAAUGAAAGAAGCAUGAAGGAAUAAAGAAACAAAAUAGGUAUAGAACUGAAGUGAGCAAGUCAUGGUGGGAGCACACAGUCUCUUUGGUGCCCAGGCAAUUAAUGUGUCAAUCAAAAAAAAUGCUGAGUUGAUAGGUAUAGUUAGGGCCACAUAUAAACUAGUAUUGGGUCAUCAUGGACCUAAGAAAUGUUUAAUUAAAGAAGAAAUCCUGAGUAAAAGAAGAAAGGGGAGGUGGAACUGUCUAAGCCAACACUGAGAUUUCAAGGCCCCUUAAUAUAAACAGAUAGAUGAUGAUGUGAUCAGAGAGAGAAGGAAGCAUAAAAGAAAGAAAACAAACAAUCAAAAUUAAAUGAAACGAAAUACUUAAAAAGUGUGUGUGUGUGUGUGUGGGGUUGUUAAAGAGAACCCAGCUGGGUUACAUCACCGUGCUGGUGGUUAGUUAAUCUGGGCACCCAGCUCCAAGGGGAUGAGAGACAGCAAGUGAGAAAGCUGGGACACACAGGAAGAUAAGCAAGACAAAGAGCAGUGAAGAAAGACAGAAAGGGAAAAAUAAAUCCUUUAGGCAGAUAGAUGAGUAGCCAGCUUCAUGGGAUGGUUAGGCUAGGAUUCAAAAUCGGACCACUUAAUUCUAGUAGCAGAGGCUUAACUACUAAAAAGAAAGAAAGCAGGAAGAAAGGAUUGUAGAUGUAAAUGCAUAAGUGAGAGAAAGAUAGGGAGCUUUCCUGGGCCUUAGAUGGGUGUUUGCAGGUGACCUGAUUGACUAGCCUGUGCAGCUGAGAAAGAACCAGAGAAGAAAGGGAAAAAAAGAAAGGUAAUAAUGCGCUCACAAAUAGGUAGAUGAAUACAGAUAGAAGACAGCACUGCUAGGGACAGGACGAAAGGCUGUGUCAGCAACUAGUUAAUUCCCAUCUGUGCUUCUGAGAUGGACAAUGACCCACCCGACCAAGAGACCUUUCAGGCAUCAAUAUGUCAGAGAGGGCCUCAAUGGGGCAAUGGAGGAGAGGCCCAUUAAUAGCAGAUUAUGAUGUAUCCAAUUAGGUGCACCUGCCCUCUGGAAGUGUAGAAACCAGUAUUGAAAUGGGGAAAAAAAUAAAAGACUGAAUGGAUGCCUGAGUGCACAAAUGAAUGAAUGAGAGAGAAAAAAAAAAAGAUUUGCAUUCAGUCUAAGGGGGAGGUUACUGCAGAGCCCCAGGGUCAUCUGAUCCCCCAGAGAAUAAAAAGGCGAGAGAGUGAUAGAAAGUAACAAUAAGAUGGGGAGGAAUGAAAAGAAGUGCAGAAGAUAAUAAGUGGGACAAUUAAGUCUAGGAGAGUGGACUUGUUUAACACAAGUCAUCCAUAUUAAUUCGAAAUUGAGGCCCCGGGCUAGGGUGGAACUCUGGGCUUAGUCUCAGCCCUGAAAAACAAACAGAGAAAGCAAAAUUAUGGCCCAGAGGUUGUAAAUAUUUUUGUUGUUGAUGACGGAACAAAGAGCUAGAUAAAUUGGGAUAUGGAGAGAGGGAAAGAGGUAGAAAAAAUAUUAGAUGAACACAGGAGAAAAAACAGUUCUUAGAUAAGUAUACAAAUAUGAUGAAUACACACUAUUAUCUGUUGAUUGUAUUAAAUAAAUGAGUGGAGAGUCAUCCAUAAAAGAAAAAAAUAAUUGAAAAGAAACAAGUAUAGGGGCAACCAUGAAAAGAUGAGCUAGAAAUUUAGUAAUUUAGUUAAUCACUGCUGCACUCAGGCCGAGUAAGCAAUAAGAAUGUGCAAAGAAGUAAAGGAAGACACGAGGAAUACAGAAAAGAGACAGGACAGACAGACACAAUGAAAAAGUUGAGAACAUAAAUUAAUAUAGAUGGACACAUGUGCCUGAAAGGGUCUUACAAGGAAGACAGAGACAGAGAGAGAGAGCAAGAGAGAGAGAGAAUGAACAAGAAUUAUAAUUAAUUCAAAACUGGGCUCCUGAGAUAACUAAAUUUCUCCUGAACUGAGGCACCAGCACAAGAAAUUAAAGAACAAAAGAGCUGCAGGCAGACCCAUGUGGAGAAGGCUCGGGACCCUCAGAUCAGCCUUAAUCGAAAUCUGUGCACCUGAGGUCCAUAAAUAAAAGAAUAAAUAUUGAAAUAAAAGAGUGACAGAAAGAAUGAAUGGAUACACGAAUGACUGAAUUAGAAAUGGAAAUGGCUAGAGCAGCCAGGAAGAAGUUGCCCACGGGAGUUUUGUUCAUCUUAUUCUGAGGUCCCUUAGUAAGAAGAUACAAGGGAGAAGGGGAGAAGUCACAAGAAGAGAAAAUGAAAGAGAGAGGGUGAAAUGAGAAAGUAGUAAAGAGAGGAAGCCAUAUGUGGGUGCCUCGUAAGAGAAAGAUCCGAGAGGAUUAGUAACGAGGGUCUCAUUAAUCCUAAAGAUCGAUGAGGUAACCCAGGCCCAGGUUCUUACGUGGAGAGAGAAUGGGGAGAGAGAAAAAAAGAUGCAAAAAGGAGAGAAAGAUAAUAAAACAAGCAACAUGAUAAAUGGGUAAUUAAGAGAAGCUGUCUGGACAGAAAUAGUAAUGAGUUCCCAUGCAUAGUCCUUAAAUAGAUAAAUACAUUAUACCUUUCAAAGAAUGCAUGAAAAAUCGAGGACCACUAUGGCCCCAAACAAGGCUGCACCUUCCGUUGCUGGAAUAAAAUACAUGCAGCAGAGCAGCCAUAAAUAACAGUAAAUACUUAACAGUAAAAGGUGACUAGACUUAGAGAGGAAGAUUGCAAGCACAGAUACUUGAGGGAGGAGAUAUUUGUUUUGCACAUGGGGUUUUGACUAAUACAAUUAUGUUCACAGGAAAUUAAUAGUUAAAAAAAUCCAAUCUAAGACACAGGAAAGACAAGGAAGGAAAUAGAUAGAGAGACAGGGUGAAGACUUGGGGUGGGAUCAGCGUGCCUUUUUUUCAUUCUGCAUACCCUGGUUUAUAAAAAUAAGACUGCCAGGAACUGUAAGAGAGCUGAAAUCUGGGGGGAAAUAGGAAAGGAAUGAACCUGAGGAAAAGGCGGAGGGAUUUGCAAAGGGAGGGCUUCCAAUAUCUGAGCCUGUGGUUCUUUGGAAGGAAUCAGAUCUUAAUGAAUGCUUUUUGUGAAUGAAGAGAAGAUGGUAGAAAUGUAGAAGGAAAAGAAGGAAGGGGGAAAAGGCAGAAGAGAGGGCGGAGCUUGCAUGUGUCACAUAUUGACUGAGAUUUGUCAUGAAUGGCUAUUGGCCCUCUACAAGCUGCUCCCACACAGCCUAACUGGCUGGGAGCAGCUAGCUGAGGAAGACCCUAGCUUUGGACCACCAUUGCCAUUUCCUGGUUGCAUGGGCCAUUUCACUGUCUGUCACAUUCUCAGCCCAAGAACACAUCCCUGCCCAGUGCCCUAUUCAUAGACUUGGAUACAUGGCAAGGGCUCAGGCCCACGCCCAGGCCCUGUAGACCAUUGCAUGAAUAAGGGGUGCUAAGCUCGGUGGGUAUCUUGACCCACCCUUGGAAAGGACCUCCUUUGAGCCUGCUGUGAGGGGCCUUUGCCAACCAGGGGACAGGAGGAGGUCAGAGGGCAGGAGGCCUUGCUUGUUGCAUGUCAUCUCGGGUGUGAGUUACAUCCAGAGUCUGGGGCAGGAAAGCAAGGGUGACCCGGAGGCCAGAGGCCCGGGAGCCCUGGUCAAAGCACUAGGAUUCUUGUUCUUACAACUCUCUGAGAUCAAGGUCACAUCAACUCAGGGCUGUAGGCAAGAGUACCUCAGACGUGAUCCUGGGUCCCAGUCCCUAGACAUGCCACCCCUGGAGCCCGUUUCAAGGCCUUUCUUUCAGAAUGUUUAAAGAUGAUGUAUUCUGUAACUACUAAAAAUCAUGUUAUACUGUGUGUUGAAACUGUCUUUUCACUCACCCCCAUGAACUGCUGGGGGAGACAUGGAGAGUUUAUUCUGGUGCCCCCCUCUCUUCUUCUGUCCAGUUUUCUUCCUCUGUUCUGGACAAGAUUUAUACAGUUGUGUGUUGUGUGCUUGUGUCUCUCCAUUAAAAAACAGUAACAGUCCCACUUGACUUCUCAAUUCCUAUUGGGGACAUUAAAAAUAAAAAAAAGAAAGAAAGAAAGAAAAAAUUCUUACCAAGUGCCCAAGCAGGAUGAGAAUAGUUUGGCUGGACCCGGGGGGCAUGUGCAGACCUGAGGGUAGGUGGACAGAUAGGUUAUGUAAGGGGGCUCUGGUGAGAGCCAUGUCCAGGCCCAAUACAUAGAAAGCAUGGGCAGGUUGGGGUGGGUGGGCCUGCUGUUACACCUGAUUUGCUGGAGAUCUGAGUCACCAGCAAGGAAGAGGGCCCCAGGAUGAAGAACUUCCCUCAAGUCUUUAGGAUCACAGGCAGGAUGUGCUGGAGUGAGCUGGCUGAAGAAGGAAGAUGGGCACUCCCUACGCUUCCAGCUUCCAGCUUAGUGUAGGCUCUGGAUAGAUGGCAACAGCCUCCGAUCGUGGAAGACACGAACUUCACGUGUCAGAAGCCACCUUCUGUGCCCCCAGCACCACGUGUCUGGGCCACGUGAGCAACGCCACGUGGGCCUGACGUGGAGCUGGGGCCGCAGGGGUAUGCUGGCCUCCUCUUUCCGAAUCUGGGUCUCCAGGCUCUGCCUCGGCGUUAUCAUCCCUGGGACACCUGCUGACCUGGCUCCUGAAGAUUGUCCAGACAAGCCCGAGUGACCCUGUGAGAUAAGAGGGGUGGGUGGAGAUGCUCAGAAGAAAGAGACCAGAAGGGCUAUUGCAUGGGGCUCGCAUGGAGGUGUUUAGGCAAGGCUGCAAGAUGGCCAACAUGGGUGAGGAGAAGGGCAUGGCUAACUAUAGGCUAUGGGAGGGAGGACAGUGACAUGAGGCAGUGUGGCAGUGGGUCUCUAGGUGGGCCUUGUCUCAACAUUCCUGCCGGGAGAUUGGAGGGGUGCCAUGGGUUCCUUUGGGUCAGUGGGACCCACUGCUGCCUUGGAGGCCAUAAGGACUUGGGUUGGUGACUUCUGAGUCACCUUGGGAAUAAAGAAGGAUGGGUCCAGCUGUUUUGAGUCUCUGACUCUUAAUCAGAUCUGGAAUUGCAAGCAUCUCUAGUUCUGCGGUUCUGAGGGUGACAGUUGGGUUCCCCAGGAUAUAUGUGGGGAGGGUGGUCUGCAUGUGCUCCAAAACUGGGAUCCUAGCACCUCUGCCUGCUCAGGGCUGUUUUAGACACCUUUCUUUCUUUUCAAUACUACAAAACAAGACAGAUUUAUUCUUCUGAUUGACACUCAUGUGCACUACACAAAGUCCUUUUUCUGAUGAUACUGGGACCUACAGCUCUCCUUGGCUCCCCCUGCAGCUUCCAACCCAUCCUUGGGGCAGGUGGACCAAAGCCCCUGGUGUUUUCUGAGGUGAAAUUGUCAAUGUAAAGAUGUGUAACUCAGAGCAGGAUUACACCCCAACUCCGCCCUCCACGCACUCCAUUUUUCUUUUCUGCCUUCCAAAUUCUUGUCUUAUGAGCACAGUUUUUUCUUUUAAUGAACAUCCUCCCACCCCUUAAAGCCUCAUUGACAUUGUUUACUUUUGGUUGUUGUUGUGUACUGUCUGUUGCAAGAACAUUGUGUCCAUGUUUUUUUCUUUGCUUCAUACUCUCUCUCCCCUGCUUGGGUUUCCUCUGAAUGGCUACACCAUCGUGAUUUACCCAUGUGACUCUCCCUGGUGCAUGAUUAUCUCCUUUUUUACGUUACACGUGACAUCUCAACCCGUGGCUUUACACAACCAGCUUUCCUGGCUGGCUGUAGCACUUCUGCACAUCUAAUUCUUACCAUGGCCUCUUCCUUUUCAUGUUGCUUCCCUCUGCUACACUGUGAGCCCACUCAGGGCAAGGAGUUUGUGGGGCUGAGCUCUGUAUCUCUCAUAGGCUGUAUAUGAAUGUCUGAUGGGUAUAUGUGGAAGGCUGGAUAGGUAUGAAUGACAGUGAUUGAGCGGUUGGCAGAUGAGAGGAUAGAUGAAUGGAUUAAUGAAUGAGUGAGUGAGUGAGUGAGUGAGUGGUUUCUCUGGGUCUGAGCUUCCUGGAUGAAAGAUUAGGGGUGUUUGAAUGGCCGUUGAUUGAUUUCAGGAGGCCCACAGUAUCUUACCAUGUCCAUUGAUGUGUUAGUAUUUAAAGUGAUGUAUUAGUGUUUGAGAUAUCUGCUAGUUUUUCCCCCUCUGUUAAUAAAUGCUUCCGCAUGGAUUUAAAACUUGUUCUAAUUACUAAUGAAGGCUGAACACUUUUCACCCAUGUUUGUUAACAAAUUGUAUCUUAUCUCUGUGAACUGUUUGUCCAAGUCCAGUGGGUCAUGGCUUUAUACAGGUAUUGGUCAUGGGUGGCCUUAGGUUAGGUGAGGGUCUCUAUCUUCUUGUGGCGACCCUGUUGGGAGAGGGCCUUUCUCAGAAAUUUAUAGAAUGGUAUGGGAGGACCAGCUGACCUUCCAGGUCAGUCUGACUUGAGAAUUUCCUUACCCUGGGAAAUAGGGAGGGUGAUAUCUUCCACUAGCAGGCAGGAGACAUUUUUAGGCUUGCAACUGGGUGCAGCAUGCCUUCACAGCUUGUGAACUCUGACCUGUCUCGUGUACCUCUUGUGUUUUGGCGGUCAUCCAUCUUGUCCUGCCUAGUGAUGGAUGACACCUUCUGACUAUCCACCUAUUUUAAGAGCGUAGACCACAGACCCAGUUCUCACAGGCGGUGGGUUCUUAGUGUUCUGUGAUGCACCUGCAUAAAUCCCUUAGCUCUGGCCUGCAUUUAUGUCUCAGUGGCCACUGUGGUUUUUCCAUAAUGAAUGGGAAAUUCAUUUCAGGACUGGUGUGAACUGCCUCAGGUUCAGUCCUGCGAGCAAGACCACUCAGUGGUCUCUGCUCUUCCCUUCACAGCCUCAUUACAGGGAAGUUGCUGCCAUUUGGGUAGGGAGUAUACUCCAGGAGAGCUCAUCCCUGCCUUCCAGAACACCCUCCCACCCCUCUAAUAUAGCACUUAGCGUGUCUGCCUGUGUUCAGUUCUCUCACCCCAUGCUUAUCUUGGCAUUAAAGCUUGGGAAGCCAGUGUUGAUUUUCAACAUGACUUUACAUCAUCCACCCAUCCGUCUGUCCAUCCAUCUAUCCUUCCAUCCAUCCUUCCAUCCAUGCAUCCAUGCAUUGAAUCUCCAUCACUUGACCUGGUGCUUUGGGCUUCUCCUGAAAGCAAACCCUUUCACCUUGGGCAAGCUGUGUGGCACCAUGGGCUGUGGUCAUCAAGCAAUGCCCCACUCCCCCAUUUUGCAGCCUCCAACUCCUAGGUCACAAGCACAUCCCAGCUGGAUCCCAUAACCACAGCUUCUCCUCCACGACGCUUCUCACACAUCACACACUUCUACCGUGAUCCAUGAGGUUGACCCCUCCCACCAUAAGCAGAACUGCCUCCCCAGGCUUCACCCUCCCUGGUGCAUGGUCCCUGUUGCAAGCUUUGCCUUCAGCCUUGCAGCUUCCUCCACCAGAUGGCAGUGGUUGUAACUCAUGUGCCCAUCCCUCUACUCCUUCAUUUGUUCUUUGAGAGUCAGCAAGCAUCUUUAAAAAUUAGCUAGUGCUAUACUAGAGUUGGCUCACCAGGACUCACUCCACCACUGCCCUUUGAAAGAAAAGAUGGGGACAUUUGUAAAGAAGCUGUGUUUGUGUGUCCAAUAAGGUGAGCUCCUUGAUUUCAAUUCAAACUUCAGGCCUGAGUUCUAUUGCUAGCUUGAUUGCUCUCUCCAACUUUGUUCCUCACACAACUAGGUUGAUUAGUAAUCAGCAAACUCUGUUCUCUGGGCGCUCAGAAAUCAUAGCCCGUAUCUUUGAGAGGCCCAAAGGGGAGUGGACUGAGCACUCAAUAGCUGGCUCUGGCUGCGAGCAGGCUUUCAAGGCUGGGAGAUGCCCUGACCUUCAACAGGGAUGCUCGGAGCGUCAUUCUGGCUACUAUUGAGCUUGGAUAAUGCUUGGCUCAUUUUUAAAGAAAAGUGCAGGAGAUGGUUGCUUCUACAGGUGACAAGGAUCAUGUCCCAGGGUCCUUUCUGAUCAAUCUAUUCACAGACCAGGGUGGGCAAGGUACAGGGCAUUGUGUAUUUGAGGGGGUCCCAAAGUAGGAGACACCUUCCUCCAGCUUUCUUCUCUGGAGGAGUAGAGACGCAGGUCUCUUCUGAAUUCUGUGUCUCACCAAAGGUGUAGGGAUCGACAAAGCCAGGCCCUGGAGCUGGACAAAUUGUGCGAUGGAUUUUAUCUGAGAGCUUGAGUCUGUCUUUUAUGGUAGGGACCAUGGUGUCCACCUUUCAGGGCUAUUGUGAGGAUUGGUAUAACUGGACAUUUCUGUGAUUCUAGAAGGCAGUGUAUGUGUCCCUGGGGGUGUGCCAGAGCACUGGGAACCCUAGCCCCAGGGUGGGGGUGGUCUUUCUCUGGCAUAGUUGGGGGUGGUUUUGUUUUGUUUCUGAUCAAAGGGUAUAUGCUAAAUUUGUGUAUUAUUUUUCAUAUAAACUAGGGACUUCCACAGCAUGGUUUGGGAGGCUUUUUAGGUAGUACCUCUGCCCUCCCUCCUACCUCGGACACAUCCACACCCACCCACCUCUUCAAGAGGUUGGGGGUGCCUUCAGCUUUGUAACUGAGGACCAUGCCCCUGAGUCAGGCCUGAAUAUGGCACCUAAUUACCUUCCUAUCCAAAAACCUCUUCCCAGGGGAAUAUUUGGCAUGGUUUGCCAGACAAUAUUGUCCCUUUCCCAGGGUCUACCCCCCCCCAGCAGCAUCAGGCCAUACUGCCUGAGGUCUGGUGCCUACCACAGUGCCUGGCUAGGGGUAGGAGCUCACUUACCUUCUUAUGUUGUGUUUGAGUAAAUAGACUGGGCAGCUAACAAUUGUAACCAGCCCCAGGGACAGAUGUAUUUGAAUCCUUAUCAAAUCACCUCAUUGUAUUUCUCUCUUCCCUAACCUGUUAACCAACUAUUGCUGUAUUGCAGUGGGAUUUUGCAUAGCGCCUUGUUGUUUUCCAUGCUAAGUAAAGGAAUAUUGUUUGCUUUCUGGUGAGAGCCUGUUUCUCCAUCUGUCACUUUGCCCUUCUCACCCAUAGUCUUCUUUUCUCUCAGGUGUGUGUCACUGGAAAGCCUACCUCACAGGGUUGAUGUGAGGGCCAAGGGCUGAGCCACUGUGACAGUGUGAUUAAAUGCUGGCUGUCCCCAGGAAUGGUGGCCUGAUGGGGUUGGCUCGAAAUCACAACCCAAAGCCCUUAUUAGUAGUCACUGAAUAAAGAGUCAGUAUCGACCUUAACCUGAGGUUGUAUUUCCAACAGUUGAUGCAGUGUGCAAAGCAGGCUGUGAGUGGCUGGCUGUGUGGUCCAGGCUAAAUGCUUGUGUGGUUAAUGCAUGUCGCCUUCUCCACUCCAUCAUGGUGGCUGAUACUUCUUCUUAUGUGCAGGCCAAAGCUGGCUGGGCUGGGCCACUGUGCUUUGGGGGUGUUCUAUGAAGGGUGGUAUGUGCUAGGUGAUGCUUUUGCAAGCUUGUAUUUCUGAGUGUGUCAAUUAUAUGUCCCUGGGCCAGUGGCAAGAACCAAGGGUCAAUAGAGGGCUUCCAAAUAAUGGCACCUUUGAGUUUUUUUUUUUUUAAUGCCUUCCUCCACUUUUAGCUGGUGGGCCUGGAUGCUUAUUCUCCUCACUCCCCCUUCUUUCACCAUCAGGAGAUGAGAAAAUUAGUUUCCCCUAUACCCAACCCUGCUUUUACCUACGUUAGGUCUCUCUCACACCCAGAGUGCUCCCAUUCUGCAGAUGGGCAGACUGAAGGCCAAGUACAAUAUUUCCAGUUUUGUGUUAAAAACUCUUUCCACUCCACCAAACAAAGCCUCAGCAAGUUCUUCAGGUUUACCCUUGCCUGAUCCUAGCAUGCAUUCACUUAGUAUCUCACUGUCCACCUACAAGUUUCCCAGCAGAGUGAGGCAUGAAGGGAGGAGUGAGGAGGCUGCAUCUGUCCAGGUCUCCUGGUUCCACAGUGGCCUGGUCAUUAUCUGCCUAGGUGGGAUCUUGGCUUAUUUCCUUCUAGGGUCUUUCCACAUCAUUGAAUUCCAUCCCCAGUCCUUGUCCUGUGACUAUGAGGGUGGGGCUACUUCUAUUUUCCCACUCUCUGUUCAUUCCUACUCCACAGAAACUCUCAGCUUUUCUUUUGCCUCUGGCUUUUAAAGCACUGGUGUCUCAGCCCUAGCUGCCUUUUUGCUCUUGGUAUUGUCACUGUGUCCUCUGGGUACAGGAGUCUGUAUUUUUUCAUUCUUCCCUCUGGCCGUAUUGCCUUAGCCCCAUUGAGAUCCUGAUUCUGUGUCCCCCAGGCUGUGUUCUGGGCCCUGCAGUGUGGCCAUUGCUAUUCAUCACCUGUCUUUGACAAGUUGUUGGAAGCUUUGCUUCUGUACUCUGGGGUUUCUUGGUAGGGACCGGUGGUAGGGACCUUUGCUCAGGUAAUUUUGAGUAUGGGUCCAGGGGCCUGGGUUCAGAUGGGCCUUGGUCCCCUUGCAAGCCAGGUUUAUGGUGACUCUGUUAGGUAUCUUGGAGGUAACAAAAAAAUCAGGGGCCUGGUAAUUAGGAAACACUUAGGUUUUGGCCAAGCUGUACUUAAACUCCAAGCUCUAGGCCUGCUCCAACCUAAUGUCACCCUGCCUCUUGUAGGAGUGGGUGCCGAAUACUUGCUCUGUGAUGGAGGAAGCAGAUGCAGAUUAGUGGAUGACUUUGAGGCCUUUACUGGUGUCUCCCCACGAAGUCUGUAGAAGCCCCGAGGCCUCUUACUGGGGUCUAGUCAGCCACAGGGGUCCCUCUGGGUAGAAACAUGGCUUUGUGGAUAUUUAUGUCUAAGAUAAAGCUUUUGGUGGACUAAAAUGUCCUCAUUGAGGUUUUGGCCUGGGUGAUUCUGAAAAGGCUUCAUUUGGCAAUUCUCAAAUUCUAAGGAGGGCUUGCCUGUGCCCAUAUACUCUCUGGGUGAAAGGUAAUUUCACCCCCAAAGCCUCUGUCCCCACCAUUAGUGACAAUCAGCAUUGACUUGAAAGUUACUUGGGACACAGCCAUGAGUACCUGGCCGACUACAGAUAGAGGCGAUUGAAAUGCAGAUCUUGGUUUCUUAUUUUCUCUAGAGUACUACUUGUGCACAUGGGUAUGAGUGGAGUUCCAAGGGUCUUGCCCAUUUGGGCUUUGGACCUUUUUUCCUUUUUUUUAAACAGUUGAACCUUAAGCAGAUUACCUGGACCAUCCAGAGCCUCAGUUUUCCCUCCUACAAAAAGGGGUGUCAUUGGUGAUUGCUUAGAGAAUGGCCAGGAUACUGUCUUGUGGUGGCUGAAGAGAAUCAAGGUCUGGGUUCUGGUCCAUUCUAUCCCCUUGCUGACAGUGUGGUCUUGGCUGUUUGCCAUGACCUAGAACUAAUCAAACCAACCCACCUGUUGUGAUUAUUGGGGGAUGGGGGAGUCAGGAGGAUUAUUCAUGUGAAAAUGAGUGUUUUGAUGCUUGGUAUACAGGUGCUCAUGUGCGCCACUCUGCAUUGGCUGAUGUAGAGGGGGCAGUGGAACUGGUUCAGGUGUGCCCUGGUUUCUGAAACAUCAGGUUCAUGUGAAAUUCUGGCAGGGUGGAAGGCUGGAGAGUAGCACUGACCCAGCUCUGGAGAGACAGAGAUAAAGGCGAGAGAUUGGUAUUAAAGUCUGAGACUCAGUAGUUUUGUUGGGGGACAUUGAGGGGCAAGUAGGAGACAGACUAGGGUGAGCAUUUAGAAGAAGCCUCCAAGGGGCCCACAGCUGAAGUCUUUGGAAAAGCAGCACAGUUUCAUAGAGAAUGGGUUGGCUAGAAACCUUGGGUGAUGUGUGAGAAAGAAGGAAAAAAUAUUCAAGAAUGGGUUAGUGAGGGCAGGAGCUGGUGGCCAGCUAUUGCCCUCCUUCCAUGGCUGCCCCAAAGUGGGGCCUUCUACAUAGCUCAGACUUGCUGAGCACAGGACUGGGUUGUCCCCUCCAGGCCCUAGCCUGCCUGGUGCAUGAGAACUUUUGUCAGCCACAGGGAUGGGCAGCAGAUGGCCUUCAUGUGCAGCUGUGUCUCUCUCAGCUUCUACAGCCACGGGGACGCUUUGCACAUUUCCUGUGGGACAUGCUGGACCCAAGACUCUGGACCCGGGCCUCCCCUUGAGUAGAGAGACCCAUCUACUGACUGACUGAACUGUGCUGAUCUGGGGGUCAGGCACGUGGCCUUGAUCCCUGUCCAUGGACCCUGAGACUUGGGGGAAAGCUGUUGAGUCUUUGCUGACUCCACAGUUAUGAAAUGGGCUCAGAUUCCCACCUCACAGGGCUGUUGUGAGGCAGCUGCUAUGUGCUUAGAAGCAUGGGGCCUGGUGGCUCAUGGUGCUUUCAAUAAAUGUUUGUCUUAACUAAAGCAGUGAUGGCUGUGCUACUAAUAUGAAGAAGGGUGGGUGUCUUGCUGGGGCUUCCUUUUGCCGUGUAAUGGUUCGGAGGAACUGCCUCAUAUCCCUUAAAUUAUGUUUGUCCUGCCUGGUGCGAUACUCGGGGCCUGUGCUUGGUGGGUUCAGAAGAAAGCCCAGCCUGCCCUUCCCCUCGUGUGCUCACGAUGUCAGUUUUCUUCCGGCAAAGAGACCAAGCAGGAAGUGUGGGAGGUCUGGCUUUGGAGCCUGAGGGGCUCACAGCUCCGGUCCUUGGAGCUCCAGAGAGAAUGUUGCUCCGGGGCUGAGUUCUGUGCACCCCCCUUGCCCUCCACUUUCCCCGGGGGCCAUGCCAGGGCCCUAGCUGAGAAAUCAUCAUGACCCAGAUGGGUUGGUCCAACUGGGACUUGGGCCAAUACGGCUCAGAUAUUCCCCUGCCAGGCAUCAGGUAUGCUGGUGGAGUGUGGGGAGGUGUUCCCUACCCUCAUGACUUCUGAGGGAACUGGGGGGUGGACAGUCAGGCUGCCUGAGCAGUCUGGGGCCAAGAGGAGGGAGUUGGUAGCAAGUGGGAGGGGAAAUGGAGCUGAAUGCUGGUAGCUCCUGGCUCUCCUAGAGCAGAUGACAUGAACAUCAUCCCAACUAAGAAGAAGGUGACCAUAACCACCACAGCUUCCACAUGACUACGACCAACACAGUUGCUACUCAUCGAACAGCAUCUGCCACGACCACUGUUGCCUUUGCUGCUGCCAGUAUUGCCAGCCCCUCCCCCUUCUCCUUUCCUUUUUCCUCUGUCAAUCCUUUCUCUUCCUCUUUUUCUUCUGACUUCUUUUCUUCUUCCUCUGCUUCUUCCCUAUACAUCUCUUUCCUUUUCUCCUUUUGAUUCUUCUUCCUUUUCCUUUUUCUCUUCAUUCCCCUUUUGUCUUCCCUCCUCUACUUCCUCAUCUCACAGAGAAGCAAGUUAACAGCUCUUCAGGUAAAGGCAACUGCAAGUACACAGGACUGAGCAUCCUCCCUCUGCUGAAAGCACCACCUUGAAAGAACUGGACACGGGAGCCUGGAAAACCAAUUCCAGCUGUGUAUGGGACUAUGUCCUGUGUGGCUGAUGAGCCAAAUUGCAGGUGACAGUGAGAAGACAUAUCUCCGGAAGUUGUGCCCAGCCAAGAGCAUCCAAGAGUCCUGAGAAGCCAUUUCUGUGGUGAACAGAGCCUUAUUAUAAAGCUCAGGCUUCCAGAGUGAGUGCCCUAAGGAUGCUUCACAGAAAAGACCUCUGCUUCAGCCUCUGAGGGCGCCCAGCUGUCCAGAAAAAAAAAAAAAGACUUUCUUUAUGUUCCAGAGAAAACACCUCAUCUUUUGACAAGCCUCAAGUUUUGUCAGCAUCUAUAAGUGGCGUUCUGUGUUUAUAGUCCAGCUCAGAAUCCCAAGCGCCAGCCUCUGAUGAAGCUCAGACAUCCUGAAUUAAGAGUAUGCUGAUAUCCCUGGGCCAGGAUGCCAAUUCCAGUCCCUGGCAGACUUUGGACAUUCAGAAUAAGUUCUUCUUUUGGUAUCUCAGAGCCCAGAGCCCAUCUUUAGCCUCUAAUGGACCUCAGGGACUCAGAAGUCAGAACUUUGUUGAUGCUCUAGAGAUGGGACUCUUACUCUACCUCUUGUGUACAGUAGAGCCAAAAGUCCAAAAAGAGGGACUUCUUUGACAUUCUAGUGCCAAGCUCCAGCUGUAGCCUCUAACGAAACUCAGCUCAUAUUCUAGAGCCGAAGCUUAGCUUCAGUCCCCAGUGAAGCAGAAACAUCUGGACUGUAGGGCCCAUUCAAUGUUCUUGAGCUGGAGACCCAUCUUGAGUCUCUCACAAUGCCCAAAAGCCCCAGAGAAAUGAAUAUAAUUGACAAUGAAGGGUCAUAAUGCCACCUGUAAUUUUUGAAGGGCUCAGAAAGAGACUUUGCUAUUCUAGAGCUAGGACUAUGGCUCAUCUCCAGUGAAGCUCAUAUGUGCAGAAUCAAGGACCUCUUUGACUUUCCAGAAUCAAGGCUCCAUCUCUCUCCUCAGUGUCCAGUACUGACUCUCUUGACACUCUAGACCUGACUUGGAUUUGAGUCUUGAGUGAUACUCAGAAAAUGGGUGCUGUAGAGCAAAACCUUCACCGCCCAGAUAUCCAGAAAGGGGUCCCUCCAUGGUGUGCUAGUACCACAGGACUUCAUCUCUAAGCCCUUGGUGAAACUCAGAUUUCCUAGAUCAAGGGGGUUCUCCAUGAUGUUCUAGAACCAGGGUUUCCACCUCCAUGCUUUGAUGAUGCUUUUGUGUCCAGAAAGAGGGUCUUACAUGAUUUCUAGAACCAAGACUUCACCUCCAGCCUUUUAUGCCUCCAGUCUACAGAGAAGCUUAGAUGUCCAGAAAUGACAUUCUCCAUGUUCUAGAACCAGGACUCUGCCUCCAGCCUUUAAUGUCCAGGUGUCCAGAAAGGGAGGACCUUCUUUGACAGGCUAGAAGCAUUACUGCGCCCCCAGCCUUUGAUGAUGUCCAGAUGUCCAGAAAGGGGACCUCCUCUAUGUUCCGGAAGCCUGGCUCCACCUCCAGUCUUUGAUGAUGUCCAGAUAUCUGGAAAGAGGGUCUUCCACGAUUUCUAGAACCAAAACUUCACCUCUAGCCUCUCAUGCCUCCAGUCUCCAGUGAAGCUUAGGUGUCCAGAAAGGGGAACUCCACUAUGUUCCAGAAGCCUGGCUCUACCUCCAGCCUUUGAUGAUGUCCAGAUAUCUGGAAAGAAGGUCUUCCACGAUUUCUAGAACCAAAACUUCACCUCUAGCCUCUCAUGCCUCCAGUCUCCAGUGAAGCUUAGGUGUCCAGAAAGGGGAACUCCACUAUGUUCCAGAAGCCUGGCUCUACCUCCAGCCUUUGAUGAUGUCCAGAUGUUCAGAAAGAGGGUCUCCACUACGUUCCAGAAGCCUGUCUCCACCUCUAGUCUUUGAUGUCCAAUUUUCCAGAACGAGGGGCCUUCAUGAUGUUCUACAACAAAGACUGUAUUUUCAUUUUUGGACGAAGCAGAGACAUCUCAAAAGAGGGUCCUCCUUAACAUUCUAGAAAUAGAAUCCCAGCUCCAGUCUCUGAAACUUGGACACCCAGAAGGAGCGCUUCUUAGUGUUCACAACGAGGUCUGCAGUCUAGUCUCCAGUGAUGAUCAGAGGUUCAGGACUACGGACCUUUUUCCAUGUGUUAACGCCAAGAAUCCAGCCAAGAAUUGUCAGUGAAGCUCAGAUGUCUAGAAAGAGAGACUUUCUUGAAUUUUCUAGAUCUAGAAUUCCAUUUCAAUAUCUAAUGGAGCUUGGGUGUUUAGAAGGAGAUUUUCAUAUUGUUUUAAAGAUAGAGGAAUAUGGACAUUUUUCAUAUGCUAAUGCCAAGAAUCCAGCCAAGAAUUGUCAGUGAAGCUCAGAUGUCUAAAAAGAGACUUUCUUGAUUUUUCUAGAUCUAGAAUUUCAUUUCAAUGUCUAAUGGAGCUCAGGUGUUUAUCAAGAGAGACUUCCAUAUUGUUCUAAUGAUGCAACUCUGAUGACGUUCAGUUAUGCUCAGCAAGAGAGACUCCUUUGUUCUUCUAGAUUGGAGAUUGCAUCUGUACCCUCUGGUGAAGUUCAAAUAUCCAGAAAGCAAGACAUAUGUGAUGUUUUAGAGUGGAUGAACUGUCUAGAAGAAGAGACUACAUUGGUGUUCUAGAGCAGAAAGUCAAGCUCCAGUUUUGGAGAAAAACUCAGAUAUCUGGAAGUGGAGGGAAAAAAAAACUUGGAGACUUUGGGCUUUCCUGGAACAGUGAUGAGUAUGUCCAAAGUUUGACUCGAGACUGGAAAGGGCAGACAGUACUUUUUUUGUGUCCCAUGGCAUUCAGUGACACUACCAUGCAAGAAGGUUUCAAAUUUACAGAAGAAAAAACUUAGAAAAGAAACUCCUGGUAGCAGAACCAAGUGCUUUAAGAACAUGAAAGGUGAUGUCACGGAGUGGAGAUAACGAACGUUCAGUGAUGCUUGAACAGUAUGUAAUGCCAUAGCAAAGCACCAUUUUUUGCUUUUUAGUUGUAUUGGACUCAAAGCUGUCCACCAGCUUUGACCCCACAGGAAUGCCAAGUUGGCUGGACCCUGGAAUGUAACCCAAGCUAGUUUCUGCGGCUAAGCUCCUCUCCAAUGCAAGAUGCUAAAUGCCCACUCAACGGCUUGUCAAUCUGUGACCUCAGAGCCGGUUAGAAAGGGCUUCUCUGCUUCCAGCAAUAUAAGUUCACUGAGUUCGAGUCUUGGGCCAUGUCAAGAUGAUUGUGAUGACUGUAAAGACUGAGGCAGCCACAAAGGAGACCCCCAAAUACCUGGAGGCAUGGACCCCGACAUUCCAGCUGAGGCAAUGUUUGGAGGUGAAGUCUUGUACUUUAGCAUCUUUUGUGGUCUAGGAACAUGGUUGACCCCACACUGUUUACUGAGUUUGAGAGAUGACAAAUAAGAGAAAAAAAUAGCUACUUAUUCAGAAAGUGCAAGAGCAUCAUGGAGGACUCCAGUCUGUGACAAAGAAUGUAGCCACUUGGAGGAGGGAGCCUUGAAUGUCAUUCUGGACAGGCCAGCUGGACAGCCUAUACCCUGGGGCUUCUAAAGACUUGCUCUCAGCACCUAUGCUAUUCCUACAUGAUUCCAUCAGUGUCUCUCCCAACAUGACUCUUUAUUUACCUGGAGUGCAGAGGAAGGGAAGCAGCUAGCAGGACUUCCUGAGAAACCCGCUGAUGAUGCCACCAUCAUUUUGGUGAUAUUUCCUGUACGUUCAGAUGAAUUUGGACUGUGUACACAAGAAUUUCUUUGAGUGACUGGAAUUCUAGACCUGGGAUGGAGUGAAAGAGCAACAGCGUCUUCGAGGACUGUCCUAUCUCGUUCCUGCUCUCAUCUGGCUGAGUUAUUUUUGAAGAUUUCCAAGAACUGGUGAUUGCUGAGUUCCUAGACAUCUCUACAACAGAUUUCGAGGCCAAACGAAAGACUGCUGAACCACAUUCGUGAGAUGAAUAGAGCGCAUAUCUCCAAAGACGCCGCUACUACGCAGCUGUACACGCAAGACGUGGGCAGAAGGUGGUCGUGUCACGAAGACUUCAGUGUCAUCAGGCACAGUUUCGCACUUGAGAUGCUUUUGAUGGUCCCUCCUCCCGUUCUUGCAAGGUACGUUGGACCCACCCAUCUCUCCCACACAGUGUUCUAUUUGGUGAUGUGGAAUUCUGAUACAGACUUCUAGAAAGCCUCUUAUAGUGCCUGCUACCACUAGUGGCCCAUUGGACGGAGGGGAGAGCCAAUAUAAGACAGACUAAAUUCAACAAAGGAGGGAGGUCCCUACGUAUUGUAAGAUGACACUGGUUGGGGUCAUGCUCUGGUGGUAUCAUCCUAGACACCUCAAGGUUUCACAGCUGGCUCUCUUAAGUUCCAGGACCCCCUACCCAAUAGACAGUGAAUGAUCUUGGGCAAAUGUGUUGGAAUUUGAUGCUAACUAAGUUCAAUCUGGCAGGUAUUAAUUCCUACUGAGUACAAGGUGACUGGAGGGUGACUAGGGAGUAAGAUAGAUCCACCAGAUAGGAAGAAGUCGACAAGUCUGGUCAGGGAGCCUGGGCGUGGAGGGGUUGAUGGGUGGGGGAGGGAGGUGCUGUUAUCACAGAUUAUUGUCUAUAUACCUGCACUUUAAAAAGCACUUUAUUGUUUGCAUGGUGUUGGCUGAUGGUAGAAAGUAUGAGUGGAGGUGUGUGUGUGUGUGUGUGUGUGUCUUUGUGUGUGUGUGUGUUUGUGUGUGUCUGUGCAUCAUAGAUAGAGACCCUGGGCUCUAAAAACAUGUCAGGGCCAAAGCAUACAUUUCCAGGUGGUUCUACAUGAUUGGGAUCCUUUUCCCAAGAGCUAGGGACAAACUCCCUACUGAUUUGAACAUCAGAAUUUCUCCCUAGCCUCCCUCUACUUAGAGUCAAUUAUGGUCCCUUCAAAAUUCUGGGCCUUAUGGCUCACACAACCCCGUGCUCAUGCAACCUAUGAAAGCACCACUUCUGGAGCUUUUGCUCCCUGAGAGCCUUAGCUAAGGGCUGAGCCCACCAUCUGUUUACCCAGCUCUUGGGCAUCCACAGUAAUGGGUGGAGUCUGACUGGCAGGGCAUAAAUAAGCUCACAUACACUGGUCCAUGUGGUGGGAUUGGGUGGGCACUGAACUCCCAUCAGGGCCCUCAGCAUGCAGGGGCCCUAGUCUGUGUGAGUCCUGUGUAUAUGCAUAUAUGCAUGUUAGCUUAUGUGCCUUCCGGAGUGUGCACUUGUGAGUAUGUGUGUGUUUGUACACUGGAUGGUGGUGAGUGUCUGGAAAUGAGAAGAGACUGAGUGGAUUUUCCCCAAAUCCCACAUGCCCUAGGUGCAUGCACUUUUGCCCCAGCCCUCGCCCCCCACCUCCUUGCUUUGCCCAUCAGCCUAUCUGUGUGGCUACUGCCAUUACAGGGCUACAGGGGUAAGAGUGGUGGUCAGUUCCUACCACCUCAAUGUUCCCAGUCCCCCUCCCACUUCCUCCUGGCCAUAUGUCUGAGGCAGUGCUUCAUAGCAUGCAUGAGUCCAGAGUGCUUCCUCUUCUGACCUGCCAACAGCCCCUUCCAUUGGCUUCUCCUUCUUGUGUGGAGAGGUCCACCUUGUCUAUCCUCCAGCUCCUGCCCCCUUGCUUGGGGAUCUAAUCAACUCCCCAGCCCCUGACCCCCCCUCCAGUUUCUGGGACAGCUGGCUGGACAAGCAUGGGUCCACCUCCUUAUGCCAACCUCCCCAGCCGCUGCCCGGGGUAUCUGUCACCCUGUGGUGCUGGCCUGGGGACAUUGGGACUGGAUGAGCUUUCCAGAGGGCACCUGCUGCAUCAUGUCUUCAAGCAGCAUCUUGGUCACAAGCAGCCUUAUCCUGAAGGUCCACCGAGAUGUGACAUGACCCACUGGGGUCCAGGUAUGUCUCCUGCACUCCUCAGUGUGCAGGUAAUGAGAUUCAGAAACUAUUGUUUUCAUGAUGACUAAGAGUACCAUAAUUUGAACUGAUGGCAUCGGAGUUUUUCUGAGAAAGCACUGGGUGACAUGCCAGUGAGGUUUAGCAUGGACAGACAAACUUGGAUGUUGCUGGAAAGUCCUGGCAAGCCAGUCACAAAUCUGUUCAACAGUAUAUUGGAGGGCACUUUAUUGCUUGCUAGCUUUUCUACUUGCAAUGAAAGUUUGGUGGCCAGUUUAAAAGUGCAAAAAUUUGAAAGAAAAGUCAGUAAGAUUUAGUAGAUGGGUGAGAGGCUUAAUAGGUAAAAGUCUUUGCUCUGCAAGCCUGAUGACCUGAGUUCUAUCCCCAUCUCUGCUGAAGGAAAGAGAAGGUUCUCAGGAAAGUUGUCCUCUGACCUCCAUACUGUGUACCCACACUCUCAUAUACACAAUAAUUACUUUUAAGAUAGGCUUGGGGAGGAGGAGCGAUGGCCCUCAGAAUUCCCUAUGGGCAUCUGGGAAGAGAAUCUGCUUACCAGGCCCUGCUCAGGGGCAUAUGCUGUUCCUACCUGGUAGGACACCCAAGCUCAGAAAUUCUCCGAACAUCACACAGGGAUAAUGGUCUGUGGUUUUGAAUGGUGGGGUAUCAAGCUGGGCAGGUGGCCCACACUGACCCUCCCUGAGAGAGGUUUCCAGGGUCAGCCUUGUGUCCUGUCUUUUUCCUCUUGCCUGUUCUGUUUUGGGGGGUCUAUCCCAUGCAUGUCUGUCACCAUCAUGACUUUCACCACUUCUAACUGGCACCUGUCAUCAUCCUGGAUGCAGCAUCUCACCUGGCCAGUCCGGCCUCCAUCACCUACCUCACCUCCAUCAUCCUCACUUCUGGGCUCAUUCUGGCCGCCAGGGCCUUGUACAUGGUAGGCUUUCAUUCAUUCGUUUGCACAUUCGGUGAAGGUCUACUGUGUGCCAGGCCCUGUGCCAGGCAUCAUGUAGAUGGACGUUGCCCUUGGGAGUCCACACCUCUGGGAAACACAUGCAAGCCGCUGGAUGGCAAGAGAGCCUGUGUCAAGGCUGCUUGGGGACAGAGGAGCAGGGAGGGGUCAUGAAUACGGAUUCUGCCUAGGUAUUGCCAAAAGAAUCUGCAAAGAGAGGUCUGUGUCCCCUCUUUGUUUCUCAUGGGUGUCCUGUCCCAGAAGUGGUGCCAGGUGCUCAGGCCGUUAGAGCCAAUACCCUCCCAGGUUCCUGUCCCCCAGCAGCCUUGUUUCCUUUCAGUCUGCACCCUUGUCUCUGAGUCAGCACUCUUGCGUGUGUCUGCUUGGUUGGGGGUUUUUCGCUGGGCUAUUACCUAUGCACUUUGCGGCUCCAGGGGGAAUGGGGAUGGCUCUGUCUGCUGUUAUUAAUCUCUGUUCCUUUGCCAUGUGUUAUUAAACAUCUGCUUUGGAAGUUCCUGGGUCUGAGAAACCUGUCAAUUUUCUUAGGAGGGUGGGCUUACAUGUUUUAGAGGUUCCUUUAGGGUUUGGCAUGUACUUAACAUUGGGGUACUGUGUGGUCUUCAGGGGCUGUUCCGGGUUCUCAAGAAUGUACUGUUGGGGUUAAGUUGUGUAUACUUUGCAGGUCAUUUCCUUGAAUGUUUUCUUAGAUUCAUACCUGGAAUUGGGUCGGGCAGGUUGAUGCUGCGGAGCCUAGGGGAUGAGGUGGCCUCCAUGCCUCCUUUCAGCCAGAGCACCGCAGUCACUCAUUCCUCAGCUCUUAAGUCAUACGAACCCCACCAGCGUAUGUCACCCUAAGCCCCCACCUCUCCUCAUACCUGUGUCCCACUCCUCUGCCUGAGUCUCCCAGAAUGAGUCUCCUGAAGAGAAGUCACCCUGUGAAGUUUUCACACUCACAGAUCACAUUCAGUCCCUCCUACCCAUGUGUGAUGCUCAUUCCCCCUGUGUCUGUCACACUCUGUCACCUCCAGGUUACCCUAGGUCCAGUAUCUGGUCACAUAUCACAGGCUUCCUCCUACCAAAAUCAACCCUGCCCCGCCCAGUUAUCACCCGAAUCCCUCUGUCUCAUGCCAAGCCCCCUUUGUAUGUUCGCACUCAUGUAGACUGCUCCUGGGCUACUGUCUUUCCUCCACUUGUGUCACCUGGAGUCCCCCUCCUCAGUUACACGGCCACUGAGUCAUGGAUUCCACAGUCACACAGAGCCCUCGUCAACCUUUCUCCCCUCCCUCCCCUGUCCCAUUGCACGUCUCCUCCACUCUCUUUAAUGUGGUUGAAGCCCACCCCUCAUGUCUUCCUAGAGCACAGCCCACACGCUAACUUUCCUGCUCACAGGUCACCCUGACCUGACGCUCAUGACUAGCAUUAUCCCCCCUUUGGGGUUUCACACCAACCCCCCUGCACUUAGGUCCAGGUAUCACACCCACUUCAUUGUCAUAUGUCAGUCACAUCACCCCUUCUCCACUCAUGUGUCAUGCCACACCCCCUUUCCAUCUAAGACCCCCCUUCUCCUGACACACAGAGUCUUUGCUCCUGUCUCUCCACUCCUGUACUACACGACACCCCCUUUCUCUGUGACACGCUGGACCUUUUUCCUCUCCCCUUCAGUCACCUGUCACGCUCAGUCCCUACCUCCUGCUGGACCCCUCCCCACUCCUCCAGGUAUCAGGGAACCCGCUUUCUAGAAAUGUGUCAUGAAGAGCACGUGUCUCUCCGGACACGUGUCAUGUGUAGCUCUGUGCCUAGCCCGGUGUCCCAGGGAAACUUCUUCUGCCUGUGUGUCACAUACACCUGAACACUGGGCUCCACUCCCAUGUUGCUUUCCUACCUGCUUGUGUUUCCCACAGGAACCUGCCUGCCACCUAGCUAUCAAACUGAUCUCUGUGUGUCUUCUUAAUGUCUUUCCUUGUGUCCCAGGGUUCCUCAUUCCUCCUUUGUGUCGUUCUAAGUCCCUUUCUCACCAGUAACGCUCAGCGCUCCUUACCCUCCCACAGACAGUUGUAUCUCUUUCCCUAGACCCCAGGAUAUGUCAGAACAGAACUUUCUAUACCCGUGUCACACACACAGUCUCUCUCCUACCACCCAUGAAUCAUGAGUGGGGUCAUGAGUCACAGUUGAGUCUCACAUUCAGCUCCACCUUCUACCCUGGGUCGAAGUAAGUUUCUCCUCCAUAUUUUCACCAGGAACAGAGCUGUUUGUCCCAUUAGCCCUAUCCAGUUCAUCUAGAUUUGACCCCUCCCCCAGUUCUCUACCCCCAAGAUCCUUUGUGUUCAUGUAUUCAUGCUGCCAUCACUCUGAGUUUUUCUUCUCUUCCCAUCAUGGGCCGCUCUUAGCCUAGCCCCGCCCACAUAUCCUGUAGCACACCUCUCUCCAUAUAUGUAAUGCUCAGUCUAGCCCCGCCCAUGUGUCCUGUAGAAUACUUCUGUCCAUAUACGUCAUGCUUAGCCUAACCCCACCCAUGUCUCACACAGAACACUGUUUUCCAUCCUGUGUCAUGUCAAGCAUAGACCCAUCUAUGUGUCCUGUAGAAAGCCUCUCCACAUAAUGGGUUUAGCUGAGCCCCACCCAUGUGUCCUAUGAGAGCACCACUCCUCAGCAUGUGUCAUAUUUAGCCCAGUCCUGCCCACAUGUUCUAUAGAGCGCCUCUCCCCGUGGCAGCCGAGCCCCAUCUAUAUGUCCUAUAGAAUGACAUGUUUCAUGUUUAACAUGUGUCAUGUUUCCCGCCUAGCCUCUCCUGGGUGUCCUGUAGUGGACCGCUCCACAACAUGUGUCAGGCUUAGCCUAGCCCCUGACACCUUAGACUUUCCCCCUAGCCCCAUCAGUAUGUCCCAUACACACCUCUUCUGAUGUGUGUCCUUCUUAGCCUAGCCUCAUCCGUAUCUGGCAGAGUUCCUCUCCCGAUCCCGUGUCGUGCUUAACCUGGCCUCACUAGUGCCUUCCAUACCCUCCCAGUGUCCUUCCCUGCUGUGUAGUGUAGUGUCCACCCAUGUGACAUGACACACACCUGCACACCUGUGCAGCGUGCUUCUAACCCCCUCCUAGGUCGUACUGACUUAUUGGUACAGGCAGAACGUCUUUCACCAUGCAGUACAGCUGUCUGCCUCAUGGGGUCCUCAUGCAUGCCACUGUGAGUCUCUUCCCAGCCCAUGCCACCGUCAGUACUCCUUCAGUCAUGUGUUAUACAGAACUGGUGUCACACCAGGUUCUUCCAAAGUUGUCAAAAGAAGUUUGUCCUCUGUGUCACGGGGGACCCCUUGCACCUCGCCUUGCUUAACCCCCAUUCACAUUAGGCCCCUCCGUUACACGCAAGAAUCAGAGCCCCCCUUUCACUCAUAUCGAAUGAGUCCCUGCAAGUGAUGGGCCACAUAGACCACAUGCCUUUAGUGGUCCUGAUGUGUCACAUGGAACUCCUCUCCAUGUUUCGAUGCCCCGCCUCCUCAUGGAACACACCCCUAUUUCAUGGAGCCCACCUCUGCAGGUAUCACACUGAGACCUUCAACCCCUGCCAUGCCUCAUGGGGCUGUGUAACUCACAUGACAUUCAUCUCCUCCAUGUCACAAAGUAACAUAACGUAUACGUGUCUCAUUUAGCACUUUUGUCCCCUGUGUCAUGGACACUUUCCUUUACAAGUGUCGUAUUCAACUUCCCCUUUUUCUGUAUCAAAGAAUCCCUCCUUUAUAUGUGCCUCAUGGAACCCUUCCUCUCUCUCAGGGGUUCUGGAGCCCCUCCUGUAAUGAAGUCAUACUAAGCCCCUCCUCUCUCUUAUGUAUCAUGUCACCCCCUCCCCUAUACAUCAGAUUCCUAUCUUUUUUUUCUCUCAUGCAUUAUGGAUUCCUUCCCCAACAUGAGUCACCGGUCCACUCCUCCCUGCCAUACACCCCUCCCCAAGCCACAUUUAAUCCCUCAACCUCCCCAGUAUGUCAUGGACACCCUCCUGUACAUGCAUCCUGUGCAGACUCAGUCCUCUCCCCCCUUUUCAUGGGCACGUGAAAUCCUGAUCUCUGCUGUGUGUCACGGAGCCCCUCCUGCGUAUGUCCCUCUGAGAUCCUCCUGCCUCUCAGGAGCCAUAUAGACUGCCCCCUUCACGUGUUGCUUACAGAUCUUCUUCCCGUAUGUCAGGAAACUGUGUCCCCUAUGCACCGUGGAGCCCCUCUUGUGUCCCAUGUUCCGUCGACUCUUUCCACCCCCUCCCCUCUCUGCCUCUCUUACCACAACGUCAGGCUGCAUGAACCUGUAACUAUGUACAUGUCACAGGCAGCUCUUCUCUCCCCCUGAGUCACACUGUGUCCCUCUUUGUUUGUGUCACCCUGAACACUCCCUGGACCUGUCUUUUGACCUCCCAUCCUUACUUUCCUUUCACAUGCUUUCCCAAAAAUAUUUGGUAGCAUUAUUCCAUUAUUUAGAAAUAACUGUUGGUUGCUCCUAUGCUGAGACGGGCAGAGUAUGUGGGGAGGUGGGGGCAAGGCUGGCGGUGGGGAAGGUGGGCGUGGAGGUUGACAAAGAACACUCGGACAGGAAAACUGUUUCUUUGUUGUACUUUAUUAAUAUUGAACCUUGAUGCAGAUGUGUCAUUCAAGCUGGACAUGGUGUCACAGGCCUGUCAGUCAUUCCAACACCUGGAAAGCAGAGGCAGGAAUUUGGAGGAUUCAAGGUCACUCUGGGUUAUACAACAAGACCCUGUUUUAAAAACAAACAGGCAAGAAAAAGCAGUUUGUGUUUUUAUUUACGGGCAAGAGAAAGCAGUUUGUGUUUUUACUUAUUUGUAGAAGUGUGUCAUGAAACCUGAUCUGAGAACAUUUCUCUCACCCUCAAAGGAUCCAGGGUGCCCUUAGCUGUGCCUGCAGCUUGUCCCCUUAGUGCCCUGAGCAGCUCUUUAUUCUCACCUUGUCUUUGGGGUCCCGUUGGGGGCUGUACAAGCUCCUGCUGGAUCCCAUGAGUCCCUUCUAGGUCUCCGGAGGUGCCCGCCGGACCCGCACCUGGGAAGGGCUGUGGCUGGGCAGAAUGGACCUCAGCAGCAUACUUGGCACACCUGUGGCAACAGACAUCCUUCCCUCCCUCUUCCCUCCCCACCACCUCCCUCUCCCCUCUCUGCAUCACCUGUAUUGCAUCCAGAAUUCAUAAGAGGUCAGGUCCAACAGUGAGGGUAGAGAGUUCCACGUUGCCUAGGGCUGGCUGCCCCUUGCUGUCCUUUCUCUAACCACUGUCCUACCUGUUAUCUGGCUUGCCUUGCUUCUUUUCAGGAGGAGGAGGAGAAGGAGGAGGGUCUCAUCGUAGUCAGAAGUUGGGGGGUGGGAACGGCGUCAUGCAGGAGUUGAUUGCACAGCCAUUCAGCUCCUAUAUGAUGCCUUUCUUCACCCCCUUCAACCGCGUGUGGCGUCCAGACCCUCCUCUGCGCCUUGGGCUGCACAGGGAUGCGUCUUCAGCUUGCUGUUUCCUGGCAUGCAUUCUCUCUUCUCCCCACAGCUCUCCAAGUUCCUGGAGGGGAAUGCCUGGGGCUGGGCCAUCUCUGAGGUCCUUCUUGGAGGCGGAGGCUAUAUCCCUUGUGGGACAUUCCCUGGGGCUGGGCCAAGGGUCACCCUCUGACUCUGUGGCCAAGGGUAGACAGGUCAGAGGUCGAUCCUAGGCCUACCCUGGGGCUUCUCCCACUGGGAUUCCAGGAGCUGUUCUCUCCUGGAAGCUCUCUGAGGGGACCCAGCUCACAGGACAAAGGGGUGGAUCCCAGAGAGAUGGUGUCUUUGUUUCCAGGAAGUGGGUGGGUGGGGUGGAGCGGGCAGGGCUGAGACAGAGCAGGGCUGAGCCUAACCAGGGCUCCCAGAACAGGGUCUCCUUGAGGGGCCUCUGCCUCUAUCCAGGAUUAUUUUUUUAUGACCAGGAGGCUGAGGUCCCUUACAGGCGGCCUCUUACUAUCUCCUUGAGCCCUUUUGGAGACGUCUCACCUCAUUACUUCAAACUCUGGAUCCCCUAAGGACUGUCGGAAAGCACCUCGUUCCUCUGUGACACCCUGCCCAGACUGGGUGCCCAUAGACACUUCAAUAGCACGAAGAGCAGAUGGCAUAGAGAUCCUUCUUGUGUACCCCAGUAACUCAGGUCAUUGCAUGCAUAUGGGACCCAUCUCCAUCUCCAUGACGCUACCAUUACUAACUUCAUUAACCAGCUAUGGCAGCCAGCCCAGGCACACAGGAAUGCCCUGAAUGGGAAUCUGUGAAAAGAUUUGAGAGUGGGACAAGGAGGACCCGGGCCCCAGCCUUCCCUUUCCCACCCCUUUCCACCGUCACUCUCCUCUCCCUGUUCCCUUCCUUGCCACCCCCACCUCCAUCUUCCUACCUGUGCACCUCGUGUCUCUCGUGGUGUCAGGAUGGUCAUGCUGCUCCCUGAGCUCACAGAGGUCGAUGAAAGUCCGGAUGAAGCUCGCUGUUCACAUCUCAGAUCAUGUCUGAUGGCCAUAACACGUGGUCCCCUGAGCCUAGCGGCAGGGCUCAAGGUGGGUAGGGGCAUUUGGGGGGUAGGUGACGGUUUCUCUGUCACCUUUCCCUUUCUUACUAUGGGGCCAGCCCCGGUUACCCACUCAUGCAGGGAUCUUCUGCCUCUGCUCCAGCCUGGUUAGGAGCUGGUAAAACUCUUGGCUCGGGGUCCUGUGUUGGGACCCCAUUGCCCUUGUAGGAGGGAAUGGCAAACCUUGCCCUGCUGGUGAGUAGCUGGAGAGUGUGCUGGCUCUGGCUCUGGAGUUGCUAUGCUGUCCCGGAGCCCGCAGGGACAUCUUAUAAGGGCAGGACGAAGGCAAGGGAGGGGACAAGCAGGAUGGCCAAGGGAGGGCCUUGUGCUCUUCUUUGUUCCUGAUUGCUGUCAGAACUCUCUGGAUGGGGUCUGAAGCUGGGAGGUGGGGGCACCUCCUCAGUGGGUGGAGUCUGCAGCCAGGGCCUGGUCUCUGGUUUUCACCUUUCCUGUGGUGGAAGUGAUGUCAUCAGCACCUAGCAGGAACUUUCACACCAAUUUCUUUCUUUGCUUUUCUCUUCCCCAGGAGUAAAAAGGUUUGUGUUGUGCUUUUCAAUCUCUCUUUAUAAGUGGCUCCAUGAUAACCUGAUAACCUACUGUUUCAGCGCGUCACUGGUUCUCUUUACAGUCUGGGCUGCCGCCUUCUCCUGUAAAUGGGGACGAAGCCCCUGCUGGGUCGAUUGGCAGGUCAGCGGGCCUUUAUUGGUUCUUCAUAGUUUGUGUAUGUAUGGGCUGUGUGGCCCAGUGCACCCUCCUCUGGGAUCAACAUCAUUGGCAGCCUCUCAGGCCGCUGGCCCACUGAGGAGUUCUGUUUUUCACCAUUUAUCACACUUGCCAUGGAAGGCCUCGUGUCCCCUGGCAGCAGCAGGGAAGGGCCAUCUGUUCAUCCAUUGCUCCCAGAGCAGAAUUUUGUUUUUCAGGCCCAGCUUUGUGGGUACAGGACUGGUGUGUUUCUUCUCCCCAUUCAUUACCCCAGUCCCACCUCAGGGUCAUGGACCCUUCUUAGGAAUGCCAAGCAGAGUGUCAUGGGGGCUAGGGGGUGCUUGAACCAAGGACCCUGACUCAAAACUGACCUCUCCUUACGACGCCCUUUAGGAGCUAGGAAGGCAAGUUAGUAGAAAAGUAGUCAGCCUGCCACUUUGGGCAAGGGACUUCUGUGAGUAGCCUACCAAGGAGAAAAUGGAAUUCUUGGAGCCAAGACUCUGACCUUGACCCAAAGUGUGUCAUUUUGGGGCUACUAUAGAUCGGUAGAUAGAUCUAUGUUGUGAUGUCAGCAGUAUGUGGGGUCUGAGACUCUAGAGAACAUAAAAGCCAGGAGCAAGGCUCCCCAGGCCCUCAGUGACUUCAGCUCUCUGCAGUUUUACGAUUUUCUCAUUAGAUGACACCAGCAAGUCCCUGGAUGGGAUGGAGGGUAGAAACUCUGUGUUGGUUGCUCUCAACUUUGUGAGCCUUUUGAAAUCUUAUAGAAGGCCCCCUAUGUUCUGCAUGGUAGGAGAGGUUGUCCUGUAUUCAGGAGCUUAUUGGAGGCCAUUGGGAACAUUCUUAUGAGCGAGAGGAAAUGCUGAGAUGAGGCUGAACCCCUGACCUUGAGCCUGGGAUCCUGCCCAUGAUCUCAUGGUGGUGCCGUCAGGGGUAGAGUACUUGUUAAAGAAACUAGGCAGCAGCCAUUGCCUCUUUUGGCCCAUAAGGGUACAGUUAUCCUGAUGUGGGCUGGAGAGAGCAUGGAGGGAUAUGAUCUUGGGUCCUCAGAAGUGUUUAUCUGAGAACCAAGCCCAACUCUGCUGCUACAUGUGGGGAUUUCCUUAGAGCCAGAGGAAGUGCUGAGAUGAGGCUGAGCCCCUGACCUUAAACCUGGGAUCUUGCCCAUGAUCUCAUGGUGGUGCCGUCAGGGGUAGAGUACUUGUUAAAGAGACUAGGCAGCAGCCAGUUGCCUCUUUAGGCCCAUAAGGGUACAGUUAUCCCGAUGUGGGCUGGAGAGAUCUUGGGACCUCAGGAGUGUUUCUCUGGGACCCAAGCCCAACUCUGCUGCUACAGGUG